rnacentral:tRNA from 1 species
GCGGGUGUAGCAUAGUGGUAAUGCUUCGGCCUUCCAAGCCGACAAUGUGGGUUCGAUUCCCAUCACCCGCUCCA